UAGUCUACGCUGUAAACGAUGUACACUUGGUGGUUGGGCGCUGGUCUGGCUGCCGAAGCUAACGCGUUAAGUGUACCGCCUGGGGAGUACGCCGGCAACGGUUAAACUCAAAGGAAUUGACGGGGGCCCGCACAAGCGGUGGAGCAUGUGGUUUAAUUCGAUGAUACGCGAGGAACCUUACCAGGGCUUGACAUAUACAUGACGGUCAUAGAGAUAUGGCUUCCAGCUUGCUGGCGUGUAUACAGGUGCUGCAUGGUUGUCGUCAGCUCGUGCCGUGAGGUGUUGGGUUAAGUCCCGCAACGAGCGCAACCCUUGUUGUCUGUUACCAUCAUUAAGUUGGGGACUCAGGCAAGACUGCCGGUGACAAACCGGAGGAAGGUAGGGGAGUGACGUCGAAAUACAGCAUGGCCCGUUACUGUCCUGGGCGUACACACGUGCUACAAUGCGGCACAAUGCGCUGCGAACAGUGAUGUUAAGCAAAACGACAAAAAGACGGACCGU
rnacentral:rRNA from 1 species